CGCAUGCGCGCUGGCGGUGUGGGCUGUGGCCACGGAGUUUGUCUGGUGGUGGAAGGAGGGGGUGGCUGCGCCCGCCAUGCUGGGGCUCGUGUUUUUCUCUUCCGCUUCAGGCUUUGGUGAAAUGGGCUGAGGAAGGGGGAAUUGAACUGAGAGACUCCUUGUCCGUCCCCCAUUUCUUUCUUUUUUUUUUUUUUUUGAGAUGGAGUCUCGCUCUGUCGCCCAGGCUGGAGUGCAGUGGGACAAUUUUAGCUCACUGCAACCUCCGCCUCCCGGGUUCAAGCAAUUCUCCUGCCUCAGCCUCCCGAGUAGCUGGGAUUACAUGCGCCCGCCACCACACCUGGCUAAUUUUUGUAUUUUUAGUAGAGACGGGGUUUCACCACGUUGGCCAGGCCGGUACCGAACUCCCAACCUCAGGCGAUCCACCCGCCUCGGCCUCCCAAAGUGCUGGGAUUACAGGCGUGAGACACAGCGCCUGGCCUGUCCUUUUUAUGUAUUGCCAUAUUUUCUUUUCUUUUCUUUUCUGUGAGAUCCCUGUUGAGUUUUGUUAACAAGGCUAUGCUGAUAUAAUGUGUGGAGAAGUGUUCUCUCUUUUUCUAUUCUUUGAAAGUGCUAGUGUAGGAUUGAUGUUAUUUAUUUUUUAUGUGUUUGGAAGAAGUCACCAGCCAUCUGGACCUAGAGUUUUCUUUGUGGAAAGACUUUAAAUUACAAAUUCUAUUUCUUUUAUAAAAAUACAACUAUUCAGAUGUUCUAUUUUAUUUCUGGGUCUCACUCUGUUACGCAGGCUGGAGUACAGUGGCACAUUCUUGACUGACUGCAACCUCCACCUCCCAGGCUCAAGCGAUCCUCCCACCUUGGAUCUGUGCUGGGAGAGUACUUGUUGGCAUAUGCUGAUGGUCAUCUGCAUGAUUGGACUCUUCCAUAUCUGCUCCAGAAGCUUGAGUGUCUCCACUACAGGAAGAGUCUUUGUCAUUACUGGUUUUAGAAAAGCUGUCCUCAGAGCCACCAUUUUUCUUGAUGCCUUUCACGGUGACAACGGCCAGCACUUGCCCUGAGGACAUCUCUUCAGGAAGCUCUGCUACAAGAAUGGCGAAGCAAUCUUUUUUCUUGGCAUCUCAUUUUGCCCUGUGAAGAGAUAGGGCUGCUUCUGGGGACUUUUCACUGAUCACCAUCCCCGCCAGGUCAUCCUUGAAAUCAUUUACCUGGACUCCCUAGGGUGCCUUCACAUUACAUGGGGCCUCCUUUUCCUUGAUGUUGUUGGCAAAUUCUUUCACUGGAUUAUCUAUGGGAACUUUUUCCUUGGCACAUUUGUCGGCAUUCAGAUCCAGUGGAGCAUCCUCAUGUGAGCUUUCGUUGGUGAGGUCUUCCACCAGGGUAUCCUCCAUGGGAACUUUUUCCUUGGCUCAUUUGUCAGCCUUUAAAUUUAGCAAAACAUCCCCAUCUGAGCUUUUGUUGGCAAGGUCUUCCACCAGGGUAUCCUCCGUGGGAACUUUUCCUUGGUGAAUUCAUCAGCCUUCAAUCCAGUAGAGCGUCCUCAUCUGAGCUUUCAUUGGCAAGGUCUUUCACCAGGGUAUCCUCUGUGGGAACUUUUUCUUUCAUGCGUUUGUCAACCUUCAAGUCCAGUGAGGCAUCCUUAUCUGAGCUUUCGUUUCCAAGGUCUUCCACCAGGGUAUCCUCCAUGGGAACUUUUUCCUUGGCACGUUCUUUGGCCUUCAAAUCCAGUGGGGUGUCCUAAUCUGAAAUUUCAUUGGCGAGGUCUUCCAGAGGAUCCUCCAUGGCACCUUUUUCCUUGGCACAUUCAUUGGCCUUCCAAAGCCAUGGGGCAUUUUCAUCUGAGCUUUCACUGGCUUGGUAUCCUUCCAGGAUAUCUUCCAUGUGAACACUUGCCUGAGUUGCUGAGUCUGUCAAGUGAACAGCAAGAACCUGUUCAGAGGAAGUGUCGCUGGUCUGCUCCCCUGCCAGGUUGUCCUUGAAAUCUUCAGAUGGCUACCUGCCAGGGUGCACAUGAGGAUGACACCUGCGGUGGCACAUUCUCUCUCUAAAACUGCGCUGGCAGACCAUGGAUUCGCCAUGGACAGUGGAGUCUCCUGAAACCUGAGUAUCCACUGCUGCAUCUUGGAGGCAAUACUCUAGCCUUCACGAGCACCCUUCUACUCCAGUCAGGCUGAAGUCUCCCUCGCUGUCACCGCCACAACUGUAGGAGGUGAGCCACAGAGCCGUGCCAUCUGCAAGCUCCAAACUCCACCUCACCACAGGUGACUCCUCCUUCACUUUCUCCUCCAGCCUUUCUCAGAGUGGCUGGGCGGGCAAAGCCAGAAAAGCCACUCUGGCCACACUGCAGCCUCUGUUGCCACCACCAACUGCAGUGAGGCAAGCCAUGGUGCCACAGGCUCCAACCUCCAGCAUGUGGCAGGUGAUUCCCCUUCCCCUUCUCCUGGUUCUCUAAGCCAGGAACAGAGUAGCUCGGUGGGCAGAUACAGAAGAGCCUAAAAUCUGUUGUACUAUUUUAAGAAAAACUUCUCUUGCCUGUAAUCCCAGCACUUUGGGAGGCCGAGGUGGGUGGAUCACCCAAAGUCAGGAAUUCAAGACCAGCCUGGCCAACAUAGCAAAACCUCAUCGCUACUAAAAAUACAAAAAACAAAAAACAAACAAAAAAAAAUUAGCUGGAUAUUGUAGUGCGUGCCUGUUAUCCCUGCUCUUUGGGAGGCUGAGGCAGGAGAAUCACUUGAACCUGUGUUAGAAUCAAAAUGCUUGUUUCUUGGUGUCGCAAGGAAAAAUUAGCAUUCAGACAAAAAGUUUUCUCAGCAAGGCAAUUUUACUUUCUGUAGAAAGGGUGCUGCCCAUCAGCAAUCCUGCCAGGAGAGCACAAUGAACAAAGAAAGGCAGGAAUAUUUAUCCCUUAUGCAUUGGGUCCUUACUGCUGUGUCCUGUCUCCAUUGGUUGGAGCUGGACCUCACAGUCUAAGCUAAACCCAAUUGGCUAACAACUUAAAAAACUUUCUUAAAUAGGUAAAGGCAAUGGAGAACAAAGGAAAAGAGGAAGUUGCUUGCCAAAAGACUUGGAGAAGUAAUAACAUUUCCAAAUAAGGAAAGGGCAUAAGCUGUGAGCUGGGACAUGCUUGAGCACGUCGAGACCAAAUAUCUUGGUUAACGUACAAGGACACAGAAGGUACUUAUUUCCUUAUAUCUAACAACUACAUAAGAUAUGGUUUAAAAAAGAGUUACUAACACAAAGCAAAGAGGCUUAAAAAAAGUUAAUUAAAAAUAUUAUUUCUAACACUUGUGAUUUAUUAUUUAAUAAAAACUUUAAAGAGAAACUUUUUUACUUUCCACAACCUAGAAGGUGGAGGUUGCUGUGAGCCAAGAUGGCACCACUACACUCCAGUCUGGGUGACAGAGGGAGACUCCAUUUCCAAAAUAAUAAAGUAUGUUUUUUAAAAAAAACUUUUCUGUAGUCUUGAAAUUUUAUUUAUUUAUUUAUUUAUUUAUUUUUUGAGACAGAGUCUCACUCUGUUGCCCAGGCUAGAGUGCAGUGGCAUGAUCUGGGCCCACUUUAGACUCAACCUCCUCGUCUCAAACAAUCCUCCCACCUCAGGCUUCUGGGUAGCUGGAACCACAGCACACACCACCACACCUGGCUACUUUUUUGAUUUUUUUUUUUUUUUUGGAGACAGAGUCUCACUCUGUCCCCCAGGCUGGAGUGCAGUGACAUGAUCUUGGCUCACUGCAACCUCUGCCUCCCGGGUUCAAACAAUUCUUUUACCUCAGCCUCCAGAGUAGCUGGGACUACAGGUGCAGGCUGCCAUGCCCGGCUAAUUUUUCGUAUUUUAGUAGAGACAGGGUUUCACCGUGUUGCCCAGGCUGGUCUCGAACUCCUGAGCUCAGGCAAUCUGCCUGCCUUGGCCUCCCAAAUUGCUAGGAUUACAGGCGUAAGCCAGCAUGCCUGGCCUACUUUUUAAAUUUUUUUGUAGAGAUGAAGACUCCCUCUAUUGCCCAGGGUGAUCUCAAACUCGUGGGCUCAAGUCAUCCUCCUGCCUCAGCCUCCCAAAUUGCUAGGAUUAUAGGUGUAAGCCACUGUGCCUGUCCUGAAAUUUUUAAAAUAAAAUUUUAAAUAAACAUUUUUAAAAUGAAGAUAUUGCAUGGGUGUACGUGGGUAUCAUAUGGAUGUAUCAAGCUCUUUGGGUUUCUUAAAACUUUUCAGGAUUAAAAAUACCCUGAUUUUGCAAAGCACUUCAUAAUUAGAAUCACUUGUAGAAGUUUACCAAAGGUGAAAUACACAACGCAUUUAGCAUUCAUACAGCUCUUUGGUAUUAAAAAUCACAUUUUGGGCCAGGCGCAGUAGCUCAUGCCUAUAAUCCCAGCACUUUGGGAGGCCGAGGCAGGUGGAUCAGCUGAGGUCAGGAGUUCGAGACCAGCCUGGCCAACAUGGCCAACAUGGCGAAACCCUGUCUACACUAAAAAUUCAAAAAUUAGCUGGACGUGGUGGCACGUACUUGUAGUCCCAUCUACUUGGGAGGCUAGGGCUGGAGAAUCACUUGAACCUCAGUGGCGGAGGUUGCAGUGAGCUGAGAUUGUGCCAUUGCACUCUAGCCUGGGCAACAGAGCGAAACUCCAUCUCAAAAAAAACAAAAAAAGAAGAAGAAAAUCACAUUUUGGGCCAGGUGUGGUGGCUCAUGUCUAUAAUCCUAGUACUUUGGGAGGCAGAGGCGGGCGGAUUGCCUGAGCUCAGGAGUUCGAGACCAGCCUGGGAAACAUGGCGAAACCCCGUCUCUACUAAAAAUAGAAAAAUUAGCUGGGUGUGGUGGUCCGCGCCUGUAGUUCCAGCUAUUCCGGAGGCUGAGGUGGGAGGAUCAUUUGAGUCUGGGAGUUGGAGGUUGCAGUGAGCUGAGAUUGUGCCACUGUACUCCAGCCUGGAUAACAGAGCAAGACUCCAUUCUCAAAAAAAAAAACCAAAAAAACAAACAAAAAAAACCCCAAAAAUCAAAACCACAAUAACAACAAAAACAUUUUGGAGUUUAUAAUGGAGAGGUUUACCAACCACUUUGGGAUAGAUUGAAAAAUACUCUGAAGUUUGCAGAGCACUUACUUUGAGACAAAAACACAAUUUGGGGUUUAUGAGGGUGAAGCUUUCCAAGCACUUAGAAUUAAAAACCCUUCUUGGUUUAUAAAACAUUUUGGUGCUCAUAGAAACACUUUGAUUGACUAUUAUGUAGUUAAAAAAAAAAAAGAAAACCACUUUGAUACAAAACCCUCUAGGGUCUACUAAACCCUUGCAGAUGUAUUCUGAGGUCAAAAAUCUCAUUUCUGACAGUUGGAUUGCCCCACUUGAGAGAUGGCAAAACUGAGGCUCAGAAGGAGGAAGUUCCACACAGAGGAGUAAGAGGGUCAGUUCCUCUUCUUGUCCUCCUAAACUACAGAAAAUGUUAGGGCCUCACCAGGCAUGGUGGCUCAUGCCUGUAAUCCCAGCACUUUGGAAGGCCAAGAUGGGCAGAUCACUUGAGGUCAGGAGUUCAAGACCAGCCUGACCAACAUGGAGAAACCCUGUCUCUACUAAAAAAAUACAAAAAAUUAGCCGGGCGUGGUGGCAGGUGCCUGUAAUCCCAGCUACCAAGGAGCUUGAGGCAGGAGAAUUGCCUGAACUUCGGAGGCGGAGGUUGCAGUGAGCCAAGAUCGUGCCACUGCACUCCAGCCUGGGUGACAGAGUGAGACUCUUCUUUAAAAAAGAAAAAAAGAAAAUGUUUGGGCCUGGACACUUUGACGGCGGGGCACGUCCUAACCUUCAAAUCACCCUCGAAGCUCCCCUCCGCUGGUUGAAUGGAUGCCACCACAUUCUCGGAGAUCAGCACCUCUCCUGUCUUGUUGUCGGUCAUCUGUGAGGAUCCGAUGAGAGAGUGAGAGCAAACCUGCUUUCCUCCUCCGCCCUCCUUCCCUCCCAACAGAUACUGCAGCACGAGGGAUGGCGGGAUGGAGGGAUCCCAAGGGGACUUCAGGAAGGGCUUCCCUGCAUAGGCACCUUGUCGAUCUGGAGGUGGCUGGAGAGGGUGUUGUUCCCCAGCUGGUG
rnacentral:lncRNA from 10 species